UGAGCAGGGACAUAUGCCAUGGCACAUGGAGUCGGUUCUCUCCUUCCAUCUUUAUGUGAGUUUCGGGGUUCAGAACUCAGGUUGCCGGGCAUUGAAUGGUAAGUGCUAUUACUCCCUGAACCAUCUUAGCACCUCAAAACCAGUCUUUCUUGCUGCCAUCUAAUAGGCCGGGUUGGUUUGAAGAUUGAGGGAUUUAAUUUCACAAAGACUUGUUUUUGCAGAGCAAUUAUCACAUUGUUGAAGCCUUGGCUGGUGCCUACACCCUCCCACACAGGACCUCACGCUCCCAUAGAAGCCACCCACAGAGGCAGCACCUUAAAGUGUGAUGUGGUGAGCAACGCAAGUGGCCAUCUGUGGAUAGACAUAUAUGACUUGAAGCCGGCUCAGGGGCUGAGUAGCUAGCUAGCUAGAGCAUUUGCCUGGAUCCCAGAUUUCCCAAGGCUUCCUUUCGACUACGACAAAGUGUGACAAAAACAAGAUCUGUCUGUAAUCUUGUCUGGGAACAGAGAAAUAAACAUUGUUCCAAAAAGAAUAAAUGGCCAAAUAUCUCCUAAUCCUGCUGGUAUGAUCUGUUUCUUUUUUCCUGCAGUGCUGGGGAUGCAACCCAGAGCCUUGUGUGUGUCUAGCAAGUCCUCCGCCACUAAGCUAUGUGCCCAGUCCCCCCAACCCUGGCUAAGAAGCUUUCUU
rnacentral:lncRNA from 1 species